rnacentral:rRNA from 1 species
UACGUAGGGUGCAAGCGUUGUCCGGAAUUAUUGGGCGUAAAGAGCUCGUAGGUGGCUUGCUGCGUCUGCCGUGAAAGCCCGUGGCUUAACUACGGGUCUGCGGUGGAUACGGGCAGGCUAGAGGCUGGUAGGGGCAAGCGGAAUUCCUGGUGUAGCGGUGAAAUGCGCAGAUAUCAGGAGGAACACCGGUGGCGAAGGCGGCUUGCUGGGCCAGUUCUGACGCUGAGGAGCGAAAGCGUGGGGAGCAAACAGG